rnacentral:snoRNA from 1 species
ACCCCCCAGGUCCCUUCCCCCUCAGAUUUACAUGUUGGUCUGAGGGGCUAUAAAAGGGGGAAAAGUAAACUCGGAAGUGGACUUGGAGUCUUAAAUGACAUACACGUUCAUUUCAAACGUAA